GCAAGGAGUAAGCCAAAUGUAUUCAUGUAUAAUUUUACAGUAAGAUAGAAAUGCAUAAAAACCAAAAAUACAGAUCUAAUAUUUUGGGUGUAUAUGGUGGGUGGAGAGGGUAAUUUAAGUAUUAUUUUCAUCUGAAAAUAACAGGGAUAACUUCAUGAAGAAACUGGAAUUAAGAAGCAAGAGGAGCAGGGAAUGGCAUUCCAGGGGCAGAGGCAGAAUGAGCAAAGGCACAGAUACAGAAAGUGGCAAUUCAAAAAAGUGUUUAAAGGUAAAAGUGUCUCAGAGAUAGACACGAUUUGAAAAUGUUCAGGAGAAGGAGAACAAUCAUACAAUGAAUACAUGGAGUUUUAAACUUUCGUGCAUGUAAAUUUUUUUUGCUUUUAUGAUAAGAUAAUUUUCUAAAUGGUUGUUUAAACUUAUACCACUCGCUGCUUACGGACCCAGUGAGAAGCUGCACACAUAGGAUAUCUUCACACCUUCAGGAGCACCAGGACAACCUUUUAAUGGACUCUUGGGGUAUGAAGAUUGGAAAACUAAGUUACGAAGCUGUGAAGAAAUUCAUCCAACAUCAUGUGAGUAGUGUGAUUCUGAACUCCAUUUCUCUGAACACACAGCCUUCACUCUACACUACUAUGUUAAAAUAAUUCCCACAUUUACUGCCUAUUCUACAUAGUAAUUCUGUGGAAUUGAUGUUUCUAGGAAAUUGUUCUGGGACAUAAUUGGGGCAGAAUAUUUUGUAUAAACAAUAGAUAAAUCGCUUUCACUUUUAAUGCUAACAAGGUAUGUCAGACAGAUUUCCCGUUGCUGGGACAAACUACUUGACACUCGAAUUUUAAAGGCAGAGAGGUUUAUUGUUGGUUACAGUUUCAGAAGAUUCAGUCUAUGGUUAGCUGGCACCAAGCCGGGAACAUUAUGGAGGAAGAGUUUGGCAGAGCAAAGCUGCUUAGUCCAUGGCGACCAGGAAGCAGAGUAGGAAAACAGCACAAGAGAGGAAGGAACAAGAGACCAGACAUAAACCCUAAGGUCACACCUACACCACCCACUCAGAUACACCCAGAAGUGUACUUUACUAAUGCAAGUGCAUUGGCUAAAACAGCUUGCAAAAAUGUUGAAUAUAAAAUUUUCACUCUAUAAGGUGAUACUGGACUUCCCUUCUUUGGUGUGUCUUAGUCACGUUACUUGUUGCUAAGUCACAAGACGUGAUACCCACAACUGAAAGGGGGAAAGGUUUAUUUUGCCUCUGAUUGUAGAGGUUUCAGUCCCUAGUCAUCUGGCUCCAGUCCAAAAUGCAAAUGGGGAAGGGCCGUUGGAGGAAAGCUGCUUACCACGUGGCAGACUGGAAACCGAGAGGGAGGGGUGAGGAAGGGCGAUACACCUGUGUAGGUCAUGCUCCUAGCAACCUGCCUCUUCUGACCAGACUCUAUCGCCUGUAAGUCAGCUACAGUGACCUCACAAUGCAAUCACCUUCUCAAAGCCUCACCAGAAGUGCAUGACAUGGAGGAUAUGUAGACAUCAACCACAACAGUCCAUAACCCUUCACAAACGUUCACUUUCUUGAAUUUUCCUGAAUUAAACUUAUUAAUAUGAUAGUAGUUUCUUAUUUGCAGGUUUUGAAUCUUUUUUUUUUCUUUUU